GUGCUCACUUCACAACACAUACUAUAAAAUCUGAAAUGACACAGAGAAGGUUAGAAUGGCCCCUGUGCAAGGAUGACAUGAAAAUUCAUGAAGCAUUCCAUGGUUUU